AAAAAAAAAUAUGCAGCUCAAAAGUCAAAAUGUGGAUAAGCUGAGGUUCAAGGUCCUACUUUUGCAGAUUUUCAUAUUUUGCAUGAAUGAAUUUAAAGUUUAUACCAUGGACAGCAGAGAAAGAAAAAAAAAACUUUUCAAUUUUCCUGCUUCUGAAGAAUAAAUGUAAAACAUCUUGUUUUUGGUAAAUUUUUAUACUAAUAUUAAGGGAUUUUAGCAUGACAUCCUGUCGAAUGCUUGUUAAUCAUGUUUAUGUUCCAGAACAUAUGAGUAUUAAGACUACGCGUACAGUCUGCCCAAUUUUAAGAAGUUGGUCAAGUUUAUUAGAAACAAAUAUACAUUACAGAUCAACAUAACUGAAAUCUUUAAUAGAUUAAUACAAAAAGUUUAAUUGCAGUAGAAAUAAAAAUACAUGUUUGGUUGAGCUCUGGUAUUAGACAGUACAAGUACCGGGUAUACUCAAAUGGUCUGAUUGUAUGCAUAUGGUCGGACUGUAAGAGUAUACUUAUAUGUUUCGGACCGUAAACGUACGAUCCAAAUACUUAUAUGGUCUGGAACAUUUAUACAUGUCUUAAAACUAGUAUCUGACAAACACGUUGGUGUUUGUGAACUUGGUAAUAAGUUAUUCGAUAGAAAUAUAAUGUUUUCAGAUUAUAAAAAUAAUAUCCCAUAUUUACUUUUAAUAAAGAAGAAGAUUAUUGAUGUAUGUAUAACUGUAAAAUGAGACAGCAAAGCCAACAACACAAAAAAUAAGUAUAAAAACAAUAUAUUUUUUUUGUAUCAAUGUUAUAAUUUCCAAUAUGUCCGAAGAUUUCAAGGUAUUUUUACAUUGAAAUUAAACACAAAUUGAACUCUGUCAGAACUUCAAAAGCUUAAAGAUAUAUUGUUUCUGUUGUCUGCAUUUUGUAUAAUAUAUUGAAAAUUCUAGUGAAUAAUGGAAUAUGUUAUUAUAAUUGCCUAAAGUUUUAACAUUGAUCUUUAUAUAUAUAUGAUAUAUAUGAAGACCUUUCUAAAGAUGAACAAUUUAAAUUUCUUAUCUGCAAAUAUCCUGAAAAAUAAAUUUUGAACAAUGCAUUUAAUACUUUUUGUAUAGGAACAAUAUUAAAUUCUAACUUUGUCCGCUGUUAAAUGAUUAUUAUUUUUUAUGUAUAAAUGUUUAAAGUGACUUAUAGGUCCAAAUUGAUACAUGUAAUUACAACUGCUUAUUGAAAUAUUGUAUAUUGUUAUAAAACACAUGUCAUUAUAAUAAAUAAUUUGGUAUUGGUAUUAUAUAUAUAACUUGGGAAAAUACCCAAAUAUUUUAAAGAAGAAUAAAUAAAUUGAUUGUUAUAUACCGGUAGUAUUAGAAUAGGAAGAUGUGAUAUAUUGCUAAUUUGACAACUCUCCAUCAGAGACCAAAGGAUGUAAGAGGUUAGCAACUGAUGACACUGGACAACCUUUAACAAUCAGUAAAAUCCAUACCGCAUAGCUAUUUUUAUUAAAAAUCAUAUUAUUGCUACAUGUAUGCAAAAAUUUUUAUAUAAUACUUCAGAUUUUAUUGGUUCUUUUUCAGAAGGAUUGAAAUUCAUCACCUAGAAUAAAUGGAGAAAACAUGGAAAAAA
rnacentral:lncRNA from 1 species